AUUGAACGCUGGCGGCAUGCCUUACACAUGCAAGUCGAACGGCAGCACGGGUGCUUGCACCUGGUGGCGAGUGGCGAACGGGUGAGUAAUACAUCGGAACAUGUCCUGUAGUGGGGAUAGCCCGGCGAAAGCCGGAUUAAUACCGCAUACGAUCUACGGAUGAAAGCGGGGGACCUUCGGGCCUCGCGCUAUAGGGUUGGCCGAUGGCUGAUUAGCUAGUUGGUGGGGUAAAGGCCUACCAAGGCGACGAUCAGUAGCUGGUCUGAGAGGACGACCAGCCACACUGGGACUGAGACACGGCCCAGACUCCUACGGGAGGCAGCAGUGGGGAAUUUUGGACAAAGGGCGAAAGCCUGAUCCAGCAAUGCCGCGUGUGUGAAGAAGGCCUUCGGGUUGUAAAGCACUUUUGUCCGGAAAGAAAUCCUUGGCCCUAAUACGGUCGGGGGAUGACGGUACCGGAAGAAUAAGCACCGGCUAACUACGUG
rnacentral:rRNA from 1 species